UAAGCGGAGGAAAAGAAACUAACAAGGAUUCCCCUAGUAACGGCGAGUGAACCGGGAAGAGCUCAAAUUUGAAAUCUGGCGUGCUCAGUGCGUCCGAGUUGUAAUCUAUAGAGGCGUUUUCCGUGCCGGACUGUGUCUAAGUCCCUUGGAACAGGGUAUCAAAGAGGGUGAUAAUCCCGUACUUGACACAAUGACCGGUGCUCUGUGAUACGUCUUCUACGAGUCGAGUUGUUUGGGAAUGCAGCUCAAAAUGGGUGGUGAGUUCCAUCUAAAGCUAAAUAUUGGCGAGAGACCGAUAGCGAACAAGUACCGUGAGGGAAAGAUGAAAAGCACUUUGGAAAGAGAGUUAAACAGUACGUGAAAUUGUUGAAAGGGAAACGAUUGAAGUCAGUCGUGACUGAGAGGCUCAGCCGGUUCUGCCGGUGUAUUCCCCUCAGUCGGGUCAACAUCAGUUUUGUUCGGUGGAUAAGGGCAGCUGGAAGGUGGCACUCCGGGUGUGUUAUAGCCAGCUGUCGCAUACAUCGAAUGAGACUGAGGAAUGCAGCUCGCCUUUAUGGCCGGGGUUCGCCCACUCCGAGUUAGGAUGU
rnacentral:rRNA from 1 species